rnacentral:piRNA from 1 species
UAUCUCUUUCAGGGAAGGUCUGG